rnacentral:rRNA from 1 species
UGGGGAAUAUUAGGCAAUGGGGGAAACCCUGACCUAGCGACGCCGCGUGAGGGAAGACGGUCUUCGGAUUGUAAACCUCUGUCUUCAGGGACGAAAAAGAUGACGGUACCUGAAGAGGAAGCCACGGCUAACUACGUGCCAGCAGCCGCGGUAAUACGUAGGUGGCGAGCGUUGUCCGGAAUUACUGGGUGUAAAGGGAGCGUAGGCGGGUACGCAAGUUGAAUGUGAAAACUAACGGCUCAACCGAUAGUUGCGUUCAAAACUGCGGAUCUUGAGUGAAGUAGAGGCAGGCGGAAUUCCUAGUGUAGCGGUAAAAUGCGUAGAUAUUAGGAGGAACACCAGUGGCGAAGGCGGCCUGCUGGGCUUUAACUGACGCUGAGGCUCGAAAGUGUGGGGAGCAAACAGG